rnacentral:rRNA from 1 species
GAUGAACGCUAGCUACAGGCUUAACACAUGCAAGUCGCGGGGCAGCAUGGGGGUUGCUUGCAAUCCCCGAUGGCGACCGGCGCACGGGUGAGUAACGCGUAUCCAACCUGCCCUUCACCACGGGAUAACCCGGCGAAAGUCGGACUAAUACCGUAUGUUGUCCAUUGACGGCAUCCGAUUUGGACGAAAGGUUUGGCGGUGAAGGAUGGGGAUGCGUUCGAUUAGCUGGACGGCGGGGUGACGGCCCACCGUGGCGACGAUCGGUAGGGGUUCUGAGAGGAAGGUCCCCCACACUGGAACUGAGACACGGUCCAGACUCCUACGGGAGGCAGCAGUGAGGAAUAUUGGUCAAUGGGCGUAAGCCUGAACCAGCCAAGUAGCGUGCAGGAUGACGGCCCUAUGGGUUGUAAACUGCUUUUAUGCGGGGAUAAAGUGGCCCACGUGUGGGUUUUUGCAGGUACCGCAUGAAUAAGGACCGGCUAAUUCCGU